UUAAAGAGCUGUUGCUGUUAUACAGAAUGGCCUGGUGGUGGUGACGGAGCUCAAAAAAACUUCACUUUAACACUUAACACUUGAGUCUUGAGCAGCACUGGGGAAUAUGGGUGGAAAUGCAAUACUGGUCUUGGCGUUUUGGUAACAUGAACUACAAAUCCAAACAACAAUAACACCAGUAUUAUUGUAAAAAGCCGUUACAGCACGCAAGGGGUGAAAGCACCAUGCAGCUCAAUAUCACUACAAACUUCAUCUUUUCAAACUUUAUCGUUUCAAGACACAUCUCCAGUACACGACAGACCAGAGGGAUGAAAAUGGGAAUUCUUGCUAUAACAGAGAAUGAAGUUGCCCUUAGCGCACUGCCUACCUUUACAAACUUUGCUGUUGUUUUGGAGGAGGCAAUUGUUCUGAAAGACAUUUCAGACAUAAAAUCUGCUGUUUCUUGCCUGUUUGGUCUUAUCUUCGCCUCGGAUUGUGAAUACCCAAAAGAACUCAAAUAUAGUUUUGAGGUAAUUGAGAAGGUGUUUAUGGAAAUUGGCAGUCUGUCCCUGAAACUGAACGUGCUCUGAAUGUUGAAAUCUUGAGUGAGCAUCUUUGAAGUUAAACAGAUAUUAAGAACUUAAUGUUAAAAUAUGAAACACUCGAAGGGAUUGUUGAACUGAACUGUUGAACUAUGUUUGGAAUGUUUUAAGACUGUUUGAUGUUGUUAUUAUGUUUGAUAUUUUAUGUUUGGCGUUAUUGAAAUAGGCCCUUUCUGUUUUGCAAGGGUACAGUCCCUGAAAUCUAAACUCUGGCUGACAUAGUUGACAUUUGGUUUGAGCAUCUUUUGAAUUAAACAUAUAUUAGCAUAUAAAAGGAACAUUCAACUUAUUUGGGAAAUAUGCUAAUUUUCCAACUCCCCAAGAGUUAAUAAAUUGAGUUUCACCGUUUUGGAAUGUA